CUGGCUCUUAGAGCUGAAGCCUUCUGGCUCUACAGCCAAGAAGAUGUCGUCAAACAUUUCAUUGCUUUUUAUACAAUGCUGGCUGACUCCCGAGCCUUAAAGUAAACAACUACAUCAUCCUGUGCAGAGAGAGUCAGGAAAAAGGAAACUGUAAGAAAAUAUCAAACUCCUCCAGCUCGCCGUCUUUUUAAAAAAAUUUCACCCCUGGUUUCUACUGGUCCUGCAUGAUGUGGGAUAGUCCCUGUCUUCCUGCUCUCCAAACCCUAGGAUCCCUGCUGUCUUUGUCAUCCAUAAAUGAAGUAAGUUUCUUUUCUCUGAGAGUAGCAGUUUUCAUUUUGUGUUUCCUCUUAUGCUAGGCAGGAACUUCCCUGGGGUGUGUAUCUUGCACUUGUCCUCGCUUUUAUUACCUGUAGAGCAUCCUGUUGUUGUACAGCUUUUCUUGUGAUGUAGCAA